GAGGGCGUAGCUCAGUUGGUUAGAGCAUUCGACUUUUAAUCGAAUGGUCCUGGGUUCGAGUCCCAGCGCCCUCA
rnacentral:tRNA from 1 species